rnacentral:rRNA from 1 species
UACGGGGGGGGGCAAGCGUUGUUCGGAAUUACUGGGCGUAAAGGGCUCGUAGGCGGCCAACUAAGUCCGACGUGAAAUCCCAAGGCUUAACCUUGGAACUGCGUCGGAUACUGGAUGGCUUGAAUUCGGGAGAGGGAUGCAGAAUUCCAGGUGUAGCGGUGAAAUGCGUAGAUAUCUGGAGGAACACCGAUGGCGAAGGCAAUCCCCUGGGCCUGUACUGACGCUCAUGCACGAAAGCGUGGGGAGCAAACAGG